CGAAGUAUAGCAUAUAUAAUGCCCUUUACUUACACUAAAACCAAAACACUAGUUUACUUCGC
rnacentral:tRNA from 1 species